UCCCCUUUUAAUCAAGUUAUCAACCUUUAAAAUCCUAUUCAGAGAAGCAAACCAAAUGAAACAUUGUACCUUAUGUGGUAUAGGCCAUUUCCAAACAACAACAACAUUGGAGUUAGACCAUCUAAUCCUAUCUUGGAAUAAUAGAUUAUAACAAGAUUUCACCAAAAAAACAUAAAACAUCAUCACUUUCAAUCUCCCAUAUAAUCGCAUCCUCAGCAUCAGCAACAACAUAGGUGUUAUCCAGCAUUUCCAUAAGAGAGCACCAUUGAGA
rnacentral:lncRNA from 1 species